GUUGGAUUAAAAUUAACUUUUGGUGCAGGAGCUAAACGGUUAGGUCUGUUCGACC
rnacentral:tRNA from 1 species